UAAGUAUUUGGGGUGGAAAGAAUUAUUAAUUUCAAAAGAAAUUUAAGCCAAAAUAAACACGAUAUCUAAUUCCAUCUUUAUGAAUUUUUCAAAGACUCUAUGUAAAUACCACACACUGGAUGACUUGCACUUCACCUGAGGAUACAGACAUCACCUGGCUGGCUGGCUGGCUGACACCUGCCAGAAUAGACUGACCAAACGACAGGAGGGCAGCAAUGAGCAGGAACCCCCAGUGAGAAGCCAGAGCCUGACUUUCCAAUAAAAAUAAAUCUUUUUUAAAAAAGUAACAAUCCAGCACAAUUAGUCCUACAAAGCUUUCUCCCAGCCAUGACUAGGUCAAAGUAGCUGAAAAAUUCCUAGAGCGAGCCCCAGACUUUGAAGCCAGAGCCUCCACCUGCAGCCCUGUUCAUCCUGGUGAUUCACAAGUGAGCUGACACCAUGAGAUCUGCUGACUCAAAAAAUUAUGUCCUGCUUUGGAAUCUGAUCCUGGGCUUACUCAGGAUGCUGGCAUUAUUUAUGUUUAUGUGUAAUUCAGCACUUGUGUGCACAAUUCCCCUGAGUAACCGGGUGUCUCAUUCCCAGGAAGACUUCUUAGGAUCUGACCAAGCACAGCAGUGGCACUGCUCCUUCCAGCCCGCCACUGCUUCUUAAGGAGUACUUAUUAGUUCAAAUUAAUAUCCAAGUUAUUAUGAGGAAAAAUAAUUUUAUUGGACUUUAUUACAUUUCUUUUACAGCCUAGUGUUGCUUUUGCUUGAAUUAAAUAAGAUGGAGAAAGGGGCACUGUAAUGUUUUUGAAAUUCAGGGUCUUGAAAGCUCUUAACCUGGCUUCUCCCCACUAAGAAAAGUCAGAUGUCUAAUUACCAUUGACAAAAUAAGGAGACUAGCCCUGUCCACCCCUAAAUCUCCUGUAAACUUCUCUCCAUACAUUGAUAUAAACCGCUGAUUCCAACAAUCCGUAUAAAGCCCUGCUUGCUGCCUGUCCCCAUCCCUGGCCAUAAAGUCUGUCGCCUCUACCUUCACCUAGAAGGUCUUAGUUUUGAAAGGAGUAACACUCUGCUUACUUACAGUCACACAGUAAGUUUUAGAAGGAAUCUGAGCAUCCUGGCUAGAUGCUUGACAAACUUGACUGUCCACAAGCCCAAGAAUGGCUGCUAACUCACCACAGCUGUUAAAGAAAGGGCCUGAAAAACUUAAUGUCUGUUUUAAUCAAAUAGCUUUAUAGUACAAAUAUAAUAAAGUCACAUGCAUUUCACUUUUUUUUUUACAUACUCAGAACAAGAUCAUUACACAGACACUGCAGUGUUUUCUCAAGUGAACCUUCAUUUUAACCAAAUCUACAAAGCAUUUAUUGACAUUAAACUAGCCAGCAAAGCUACAGACCUGAAUCAAACAGCCUCGAUGCUGUAGUAUUUUAAAAAGUAAAUUUAAAAACUCACAACAUAGAAGCGGUGACCAUCUCAGCAAGCACUCUCCCAGAGAGAAAGCCCAUCCAUGAGCCCUGCCCCUCUGAGGAGUGCUUGGCAUACACCAGGAAGGCCUCUCACAGAGCAAGAUGUCAUAUCAACGUGAUUUGGUGUGGACUGUUUUUUUUAAGGUAGCAAUACUGCAAUAGAAAUAUAUUAACAAUGGCCUCAACAGCCAACAUUCUUCUUACAUCUUAAACCAAAGUUGUAGGAAGCUACAGAUCUUUAUAAAGAACUCUCUUCACAGCACAGCUGCAAUUCACUUUACAUCACAGAACUCCUCCCUUGAUCCUCUGUCCUUACAAGUCAACAUCAUGAACAUAGAACAACACUCUGACUCCACAGCACAUGUUAGUCUUGCCUUGGAUAGAAGCUUGCAAUUAGUCACAUUUGCCAAGCGUUCACUACAUAUUUUAGUUGAAGCAAACUUAAAAGUGAUAUGAGUUU